rnacentral:rRNA from 1 species
GUAUAUUUAAGUUGUUGCAGUUAAAAAGCUCGUAGUUGGAUUUCGGUUAAGAGCGACCGGUCCGCCGUUUGGUGUGCACUGGUUGGUUUUAACUUCCUGUAGAGGACGUGCUCUGGGCUUAACGGUCUGGACUCGGAGUCUACGUGGUUACUUUGAAAAAAUUAGAGUGUUCAAAGCGGGCUUACGCUUGAAUAUUUCAGCAUGGAAUAACACUAUAGGACUCCUGUCCUAUUUCGUUGGUCUCGGGACGGGAGUAAUGAUUAAGAGGAACAGUUGGGGGCAUUCGUAUUUCAUUGUCAGAGGUGAAAUUCUUGGAUUUAUGAAAGACGAACUUCUGCGAAAGCAUUUGCCAAGGAUGUUUUCAUUAAUCAAGAACGAAAGUUGGGGGCUCGAAGAUGAUUAGAUACCAUCCUAGUCUCAACCAUAAACGAUGCCGACUAGGGAUUGGCGGAUGUUAAUUGAUGACUCCGCCAGCACCUUAUGAGAAAUCAAAGUUUUUGGGUUCCGGGGGGAGUAUGGUCGCAAGGCUGAAACUUAAAGGAAUUGACGG